GGUUGGUCCCAGUGCAGUGGUAUUUACAACUAAUGGAUCACAACCAGUUACAGGCUUAUUUCUUCCUUCUCCACUCUCAUUGCUUCACUUGACUAGCCUGGG
ensembl:misc_RNA Y_RNA Y RNA